GUUCCUGUGGUCGAGUAGAAACUACCUCUCAUUAUUUCUUCAAAUGUCCAAAAUAUAAUGAAAUUCGAAGGGAUACUAUCGGGACGAUCUCUUGUUCUAAUCUUAAGAUUAUUUUAUAUGGGGAUAGUCUAAAAGCUGACGAGGACAAUAUGCAAAUAUUUCAUAAAGUUUCUGAAUACAUAAUAAAACAAAACGUUUUGAAAGUUAAUCUAGUAUAUGUAUAUAUAUAUUAUAUAUUUAGACUUUUUUUUUUAAAUAUGAUGUUAAAUCGAGUGGAUGACCCGGUGUAGUUGAUUGUGGUCGGACGUGUGUGUUGGUUCCAGUGACUGUCUAGAAAAGUAAAUAAGAGUUGACUGUUUCUUGUUUUUUUUAUUUUUUUUCUUUUUUUUUCUCACUUUUUCUUUUUUUCCUUUAUUUUAUUUGUUGUAUUUUUUUUAUUUUUUGUGUGUGUGUGUUUAUUUAUUCAAUGUAUCAUAUGCUACCAUAAAAUGAAUAUACUGUUGGCACG
rnacentral:lncRNA from 1 species